rnacentral:rRNA from 1 species
GUGGCUAAUACCGGAUGUGCCGAGAGGUGAAAGGUUAACUGCCUGAAGAUGAGCUCGCGUCUGAUUAGCUAGUUGGAAGUGUAAUGGACUCCCAAGGCGACGAUCAGUAGCUGGUCUGAGAGGACGAUCAGCCACACUGGGACUGAGACACGGCCCAGACUCCUACGGGAGGCAGCAGUGGGGAAUUUUCCGCAAUGGGCGAAAGCCUGACGGAGCAAUACCGCGUGAGGGAGGAAGGCUCUUGGGUCGUAAACCUCUUUUCUCAGGGAAGAACACAAUGACGGUACCUGAGGAAUAAGCAUCGGCUAACUCCGUGCCAGCAGCCGCGGUAAUACGGAGGAUGCAAGCGUUAUCCGGAAUGAUUGGGCGUAAAGCGUCCGCAGGUGGCUAUGUAAGUCUGCUGUUAAAGAGUCUAGCUCAACUAGAUAAGAGCAGUGGAAACUACAAGGCUAGAGUACGUUCGGGGCAGAGGGAAUUCCUGGUGUAGCGGUGAAAUGCGUAGAGAUCAGGAAGAACACCGGUGGCGAAGGCGCUGUG